ensembl:lncRNA
GGUGAAUUGACAUAGCAGGUUAGGUGAAUUGACAUAGCAGGUUAGGUGAAUUGACAUGGCAGGUUAGGUGAAUUGACAUAGCAGGUUAGGUGAAUUGACAUAGCAGGUUAGGUGAAUUGACAUGGCAGGUUAGGUGAAUUGAUAUAGCAGGUUAGGUGAAUUGACAUAGCAGGUUAGGUGAAUUGAUAUAGCAGGUUAGGUGAAUUGACAUGGAAGGUUUGGUGAAUUGACAUAGCAGGUUAGGUGAAUUGACAUGGCAGGUUAGGUUAGGUGAAUUGAUAUAGCAGGUUAGGUGAAUUGACAUGCCAGGUUAGGGGAAUUGACAUGGCAGGUUAGGUGAAUUGACAUAGCAGGUUAGGUGAAAUGACAUAGCAGGUUAGGUGAAUUGACAUAGCAGGUUAGGUGAAUUGACAUAGCAGGUUAGGUGAAUUGAUA